rnacentral:rRNA from 1 species
GACGAACGCUGGCGGCGUGCCUAAUACAUGCAAGUAGAACGCUGAAGAGAGGAGCUUGCUCUUCUUGGAUGAGUUGCGAACGGGUGAGUAACGCGUAGGUAACCUGCCUGGUAGCGGGGGAUAACUAUUGGAAACGAUAGCUAAUACCGCAUAAAAUUGAUUAUUGCAUGAUAAUUAAUUGAAAGAUGCAACUGCAUCACUACCAGAUGGACCUGCGUUGUAUUAGCUAGUUGGUGAGGUAACGGCUCACCAAGGCGACGAUACAUAGCCGACCUGAGAGGGUGAGCGGCCACACUGGGACUAGAGCACGGCCCAGACUCCUAGAGGAGGCAGCCGUAGGGGAUCUUCAGCGAAGGGGGGAAUCCUGACCAAGCCACGCCGCGUGAGAGAAGGAGGUUGUCGGAUCGUAAGGCUCUGUUGUAAGAGAAGAACGGGUGUGGGAGUGGAAAGUGCACACUGUGACGGUAUCUUAUCAGAAAGGGACGGCUAACUACGUG